CAAGUCGAGCGGCAGCGCGGGGGCAACCCUGGCGGCGAGCGGCGAACGGGUGAGUAAUGUAUCGGAACGUACCCAGUCGUGGGGGAUAACACAUCGAAAGGUGUGCUAAUACCGCAUACGACCUGAGGGUGAAAGCGGGGGACCGUAAGGCCUCGCGCGAUUGGAGCGGCCGAUAUCGGAUUAGCUUGUUGGUGAGGUAAAGGCUCACCAAGGCGACGAUCCGUAGCUGGUCUGAGAGGACGACCAGCCACACUGGAACUGAGACACGGUCCAGACUCCUACGGGAGGCAGCAGUGGGGAAUUUUGGACAAUGGGGGCAACCCUGAUCCAGCCAUUCCGCGUGAGUGAAGAAGGCCUUCGGGUUGUAAAGCUCUUUCAGCAGGAACGAAACGGUUAUUUCUAAUAAAGAUGACUAAUGACGGUACCUGCAGAGGAAGCACCGGCUAACUCCGUGCCAGCAGCCGCGGUAAUACGGAGGGUGCGAGCGUUAAUCGGAAUUACUGGGCGUAAAGGGCGCGUAGGCGGCCAAUCAAGUCAGAUGUGAAAGCCCACGGCUUAACCGUGUGAAGUGCAUCUGAAACUGGUUGGCUUGAGUAUCGGAGAGGAAAGUGGAAUUCCCGGUGUAGAGGUGAAAUUCAUAGAUAUCGGGAGGAAUACCGGUGGCGAAGGCGACUUUCUGGACGAAUACUGACGCUGAGGCGCGAAAGCGUGGGGAGCAAACAGGAUUAGAUACCCUGGUAGUCCACAGCUGUAAACGAUGUGCACUAGAUGUGGGGGAAGUGUUGACCUUUCCUGUGUCGCAGCUAACGC
rnacentral:rRNA from 1 species